AAACAACCGAAGUAGAAGCUUUGGUAACGUCACCAACGUACUAUCCGUUGCUCACUGGUUGGCGGAAUAUUUAAAUUGAGAAAUAGGAUAAAGUUGCCGAGUUAUUGUAAGCGGACGAAAGAUGAAUCGGGCAUCCAGUAGCCGGCAGUCGGGGUUGCCUCUCAGGGUGGCUGACGGCAGGAUGAGCAUGAUCAACGCCACGCCGCAAAGCCCGCUGAUGUUUUUGACGCAGCAAAGACUCUGCUUUCGGAAAGCUGAACAUCCCGAAACCACAGUCUGGGACGUCUGACAGGAGAACCAGUUUUUUCGGGAAAAGAGCUAGUGGGGCAGGCAUGUCCCGUAACAGCACUUUUGGAGCUUUUGGGGGUGUGGAAAAGAUGAAGGAUCCUCGACCUCUCCAUGACAAGUCUUUCAUCCAGCAGUGUAUCAAAGAUCUCUG